UCUCCGUUGGUGAACCAGCGGAGGGAUCAUUACUGAGUUACCGCUCUACAACCCUUUGUGAACAUACCUAACUGUUGCUUCGGCGGGCAGAGGUCCCUCGCGGAUCUCUCCCGGCAACGCCCUCACGGGCGGAGCGCCCGCCGGAGGAUACCAAACUCUAUUUUAACGACGUUUCUUCUGAGUGGCACAAGCAAAUAAUAAAACUUUUAACAACGGAUCUCUUGGUUCUG
rnacentral:misc_RNA from 1 species